CCCUUAGAUGUUCUGGGCCGCACGCGUGCUACACUGAGUGGAUCAGCGGGUCAGGUUGCGCGAAAGCGUUUCCUAAUCUUGAAAUCCGCUCGUGAUGGGGAUUGACGGUUGCAAUGUUCUGUCAUGAACGAGGAAUACCUUGUAAGCGCGAGUCAUCAUCCCGCGCUGAAUACGUCCCUGCCCUUUGUACACACCGCCCGUCGCUCCUACCGAUUGAGUGGUCCGGUGAGGCUUUGGGAUCUGAGCGGAAAGAGCGUUUCGCUCGUUCUGCCCGGAAAACUCAGUCGAACCUUAUCAUUUAGAGGAAGGAGAAGUCGUAACA
rnacentral:rRNA from 1 species